UUGUUUGAUAUUACGUCUCACCUUCAUUAUCACACCUGCUACCCUGCUGAUUGAAGUGGAACAGCCGGGUUAGAAUAUUUAGUGGUCCUGCUGGAGCCCUCUUGUAUUUCUUCUUCUUCUUCUGUUCUCAGCUAAAGGUAUUUGUGCAGCAAAAACUGUUGGAUCUAUAAACACCAAAAUUGGCAGGGAAUUAUUGGAAAUAGUGGUCAAAGGUGCGCUCACCUUUGCUCGCGCAGUGAAAAGCAGGAGGAGAGGAAAAUAUGCCGAGACGUGGCUGUGUGGAUCGAUACCGGACUCUGCGCUGCAGCUGGCAGGCUUCCAACUCCGGAUCGUGACACAGAACUCUCCAGCAAAACAAAGGGUGGAUGUAUCUGUUUUAACACCAACAGUAGCUGGUGUAAUGAUGUGACAGUGAUCCAACAGCACUGCUCUCCUAAUCUUUAAUCUUUCUUCAUUAACUGCAAACCUUUCUAUGCCUUGUGCUUUCCCACCUCAAAGCCAUCACAGACCCACUCCUGGACCCCCUGCAGUUCGCCUACAGAGCCAGCUGGUCUUUAAACGAUGCAGUAAACAUGGCCCAGCACUUCACCAUCCAGCAUCUGGACUCCCCAGGAACCUAUGCCAGGAUCCUGUUACAGGACAAGCUCUCCCAGCUCCCUGAUUCCACCUGCAGCUGGAUCACAGACUUCUUGCUUGACAGGAAACAGCACGUGAAGCUGGGGAAAAAUGUCUCUGACUCUCAAACCAUCAGCACCAGAUCUCCCCAAGGCUGUGUUCUUUCUCCUUUGCUCUUCUCCCUAUACACCAACAGCUGCACCUCCAGUCACCAGUCCAUCAGGCUCCUGAAGUUUGCAGAUGACACCUCCCUCAUUGGGCCCAUCUCUGGUGGAGAUAAUAAUAAUAAUAUUAGCACUGGAAGUCAAGCAGGACCAUAGCAGUAGGCACAACCAGGAUCCAUGAGAACCUGCAAGACGAGAAAGCACAGAAACUUUCUAUCUAUAUAAAGUAUAUAUAUAAAACUAUAUAAUAUUUUUUUUUCCAAAUCUUUAGGGGGCCUGUUACCCAGGGGUUGUUGGGGUCUGAAAGAUAACAAGUUAAUGUGGGAUAGUAGACCCUCAAACAUAGAAAGGCUAAUCCAUAUAUAAUAUAAAAUCUUAUAUUUUACUCUGUUUUCCAGUCCAGUUACAUCUAGAGAUAACUUUAUCCCACUCCACAAAAAAAAUUUAAAUAAUUUCUUCUAAUCUAGGUAAGUCAAUAGGCAAAAAUACAUUUUACAAAUUUCUUGUCCCAGCCCAACUGAUAGCUAGAGCGAAGAUACUCAGGAGGAUUAUGGUGGAUAUUAAGUAUCUGAGUAUGACCCGUAUUCAUCAAGCACUGACAUCAGCUCAAAUAGAGAAUCUGUUGGGCUCGACAGGUACACAAGAAUAUCAUCCGCAAAUAGGGCCAGUUUUUGUUCCCCUGCAGCCAAUUUUAUGCCUUUAAUGGUAUUGUUUUAUCUAAUCCAUUGUGCCACUGGUUCAAGGAAAAUCAAAAAACAAAACUACGUGGGCAACCCUGUCUUGUAGAUCUCUCUAACAGAAAAGCCAGUAAGCUCUCCAUUGAUUUUUAAUUGAGCUGAUUUGAUUGAGCCUGCUUGAGGCUUCUAGUUUUUAAAUAAUUUCUUGAUUAAACCCAAAUGUCUCCAUAACCCCAGAAAUGUCCAUCUAACAGAGUCAACAGCAUAGUCUGUAUUUUGUUUUGAUUUUGUCUUAUGAUUUGGAAGGAUCUUCUUAUGUUAUCAUGAGUGUGACGUGACAGAACAAAACCUGUUUGGUCCAUAUGAAUUAUUUUGGGUAGUCUUUUAGCAAUGAUUGAUGUAAACAAUUUGCAGUCAAGAUAUUAGAACACUAAUUGGUCUGUAGUUUGCACAUUCCAAUGUAUCUUUCCCCCCUUGGGUAUAAUUGAAAUAAUGGCUUUCCAUGAUGCUAGAGUUUCCCCUUUUGUCAGAACCCAGUUGAAUGUUCUCAGUAAAAUAAGUGUCAGGGCCUCUUUAGACUUUUAUAACAUUCCAAAGUGAAUCUGUUUGUGCCUGGGGACUUGUUAGCUUUCAAUCUGGAUAUAGCAGAGUACAUUUCUUCUUUUGUUAUAAGUGUGUGAAUGUGUAUGAAUGUGUUAGUUUCUGUUUGAUGGGCUUUGCCAUCACUGAGUGAAUGUGUGUGAAAGAGUGAAUGUGGCACGUAGUGUAAAAGCGCUUUGAGUGGUCAGCGGACUAUUAAGGCACUAUACAAGUACAAGUCCAUUUACCAUUACCAAUUACGUUGCUCUCAAUGUACAAACACAGACUAACAGCAUCAAUAAAUAGAACAAGUUCAACAAAAAAGACAUAGACUUAAGUGCACGUUUAUACAUAUAUAUAAACAAACAUUUGUAGACAGUAGACAAUAGUGCAAUGGAUGCUGAAAUAAAUAUUUUACGUGCAGGUAUCUUUAUGUACAUGGGCUAGGUAGAUAUGACUACUGUAGUACAUACAGUAUGCGCAGCAUAGGUAGACGCACGCCCGCCGAUAGGGGGGGACAAACAGGUCUGUUGUCCCGGGCCCAGGGUAGGGGCGGGGGGCCAGAACUGGGCCCUUAUUAAAUUAUGGAAUCAUUUUUUACAUUUUUUUUAAAUAGCCCUAUUUGUGGGGAAAAAAAGUGUAAUGUUUGAGUUACAUAACAUCUUUCUAUUUGUGUUCUUCCUAAUUGUCCUUGAAAUAGUGGUCAAGAACCCCCCCACCCCCAACACAAAAAUGGUUUGGCCACUGAUCAAAUUUGAUGUUGUUGUUGAUUUGAAGUUCAGUACGCUAAAAAAGUCCGGCCAGCACAUGUCCGGUGCUCAGAAAAGGAAAGAAAAGAGAAGAAAAGAAAAAAAUAAAGAGGCCUUGGAGAUUUUAAAUAUUUAAAAAAAAAGGUGGUGACGGUGAAGCUGGAACUGGUAAAGUUAACGUAGAGCAAGGUAAGAAACAGCGCAGCCAACGUUUACCAGCCUUGUAACGUAACAGGCCAGCUCUAAUGUUAACGUCCAUAAGCUUGUAUAAAAGCCUGACACAACACGUUAUCUUUGACAGAAACAGUUUAGUUUGGUAGCUCCGUCAGAGAGGAUAAGACAGAGAGGAGAGAGAUCCAGCUGCAGGCAGGUGACAGAGAGAGUAACGCGGGAGGGGCCCACUGCCCCGCAACGGAGGGACAGUCAGGCUACAGGUGAGAGAGAGAGAGAGAGUCACAGUGGAGCGGGAGGGGCCCGCUGCCCUGCCUGAGAGUCUGAGCAGAAUGGAUCAGAGAUCACACUUAAUUUCAGCAAUCCUGCAUUAUGGCCAACUAGAAUGACCAACUCUGAUAGAGUGAACCUCGUACGCGUGAUGGCGCCUUUCACAGAGAGGGCAAAGGAAUUGCCAGCAGAUGCAGAGGGCAGGGAAUUCCCAAACUAUCUGACAUAUUCCACAUCCCACAAUGGAAGGGAAAAAAUCGAUAGGGACUGGAUAGUAUAGCAGCUCAAAAAGGCCUUGUUUUACCUACCAUGCUUGCUGUUCUCCUUUGAAGUAGAGAAAAAGUCAACUAGUGCACUAAAUUCCAGAAAUUUACAGAAAGCUUUAUGAGAGAUUUCCAGAACAUGACAGAAACCGUGCACACAAACAUUGUUAUUGGAAGGAGAGGAAGAGCAGAGGAAAAGGAGAGAUCUGGGCGUGGGGGGGACGUAUUAGAAUAGUAUUUAUGUUUUAUGUUUUAAAAAGAAAAGAAAUUAGGCAGGUUGACCUUCCUGAGCUGGUGCAGGAAGUACAACCUCUGCUGGGCCUUCUUGAUGAAUGUAUCUACCCCAGUAUGCCAUCUAUUCUCUGCCAGAUCGUUCAGUCUUCAAUUCUUACACCUCACCUGCCUUCGUGCCUGCCUUUGUACCUGCCUGCAAGCCUGCUAUCUUCAGUAAGACAUCUCCUCAACCCUCUCAUUAUCAUCUCCAUCACACUUUUUGGAAAUAAAGCAACUUAACUACA